rnacentral:rRNA from 1 species
CAAUAGCGUAUAUUAAAGUUGUUGCGGUAAAAAAGCUCGUAGUUGGAUUUCUGUUGAGAGCGACCGGUCCAUACCAUGUAUGCGUAUCUGGCUUGCUCUCGGCAUCCUCUCGAUAGACGUUACUGCGCUUGAUUGCGGGGUGCGGAUCUCGGGACUUUUACUUUGAGGAAAUUAGAGUGUUCACGGCAGGCUUUCGCCAGAAUACAUUAGCAUGGAAUAAUACUAUAGGAUCUUGGUUCUAUUUUGUUGGUUUCUAGAAUUGAGAUAAUGAUUAAUAGGGACAAUUGGGGGCAUUCGUAUCAACACGUCAGAGGUGGAAUUCUUGGAUUGUGUUGCGACGAACUACUGCGAAAGCAUUUGCCAAGGAUGUUUUCAUUGA